GGGAAAGGUGAAAAGAACCCCGGGAGGGGAGUGAAAUAGAACCUGAAACCGUAUGUCUACAAUACGUGGAAGAGCUAUGGAGAAGACCUAGUCUCCUCCAGCUCGACUGCGUGCCUUUUGGAGAAUGAGCCGGCGAGUUACGGUGGCUGGCAAGGUUAAGUGCUUAAGGCAUGGAGCCGUAGGGAAACCGAGUCUGAAUAGGGCGCAUAGUCAGUCAUCGUAGACCCGAAACCAGGUGAUCUACCCAUGGCCAGGGUGAAGUGGGGAUAAAACCCCAUGGAGGCCCGAACCGGUGUAGGUUGAAAACUGCUCGGAUGAGCUGUGGGUAGGGGUGAAAGGCCAAUCAAACCUGGAGAUAGCUGGUUCUCCCCGAAAUAGCUUUAGGGCUAGCCUCCGGUAGGAGGAGAGGGGGUAGAGCACUGAAUGGGCUAGGGGGCUAACCCGCCUACCAAACCCAACCAAACUCCGAAUACCUCUCCUUAAUGCCGGGGAGUCAGACUGCGAAGGAUAAGCUCCGUGGUCGAAAGGGAAACAGCCCAGACCGUCAGCUAAGGCCCCCAAACGUGGACUAAGUGGUAAAGGUAGUGACCUUGCUGAGACAGCCAGGAGGUUGGCUUAGAAGCAGCCAUCCUUUAAAAAGUGCGUAAUAGCUUACUGGUCUAGCGAUGUUGCGCCGAAAAAUUCUCGGGGCUCAAGUCCACUGCCGAAGCUACGGAUUCCAGAAUUUAGUUUCUAUCUUCUGGGAUGGUAGGGGAGCGUUGGGUAAGCCAGAGAAGCGGGACCGGAAGGACCCGUGGAGGUAUCCCAAGUGAGAAUGCCGGCAUGAGUAGCGAUAAAGAGGGUGAGAAUCCCUCUCGCCGUAAGCCUAAGGUUUCCUGAGGAAGGUUCGUCCUCUCAGGGUUAGUCGGAUCCUAAGCCGAGGCGGAAACGCGUAGGCGAUGGGUAACUGGUUGAUAUUCCAGUACUACCAGUUUUCUGUUAUUCCGAUGGGGUGACGCAGGAGGGUAGGCCAUCCGCCUGGAGGAAUAGGCGGUCUAAGCCAGUAGGCGGAGAAAAGGUAAUCCCUUUUCUCGAUAACGCUGAGAGGUGAUGGGGAGUCCCUACGGGGGCGAACUGGUUGAUCCCCCACUGACUAGAAAAGCCUCUAAGGAGGAAGAUUGGUAUCCGUACCGCAAACCGACACAGGUAGGCAGGAUGAGUAUUCUAAGGCGCGCGAGUGAUCCCCCGUUAAGGAACUCGGCAAGUUAACCCUGUAACUUCGGAAGAAGGGGUGCCUCUCUCGGUGAAUAGAUUUACACUAGGAGCGGAGAGAGGUCGCAGAAAAAUGGCUCUGGCGACUGUUUAUUAAAAACACAGGACUCUGCUAAGCCGUAAGGCGAUGUAUAGGGUCUGACGCCUGCCCAGUGCUGGAAGGUUAAGGGGAGGGGUUAGCGAAAGCGAAGCUCCAAACUGAAGCCCCAGUAAACGGCGGCCGUAACUAUAACGGUCCUAAGGUAGCGAAAUUCCUUGUCGGGUAAGUUCCGACCCGCAUGAACGGCGCAACGACUGGAGCGCUGUCUCAACGGGGAGCUCGGCGAAGUUUCAUUACAAGUGCAGAUGCUUGUUACCCGCGACUAGACGGGAAGACCCCGUGAACCUUUACUGUA
rnacentral:rRNA from 1 species